rnacentral:rRNA from 1 species
UCAGGACGAACGCUGGCGGCGUGCCUAAUACAUGCAAGUCGAGCGGACAGAUGGGAGCUUGCUCCCUGAUGUUAGCGGCGGACGGGUGAGUAACACGUGGGUAACCUGCCUGUAAGACUGGGAUAACUCCGGGAAACCGGGGCUAAUACCGGAUGGUUGUUUGAACCGCAUGGUUCAGACAUAAAAGGUGGCUUCGGCUACCACUUACAGAUGGACCCGCGGCGCAUUAGCUAGUUGGUGAGGUAACGGCUCACCAAGGCGACGAUGCGUAGCCGACCUGAGAGGGUGAUCGGCCACACUGGGACUGAGACACGGCCCAGACUCCUACGGGAGGCAGCAGUAGGGAAUCUUCCGCAAUGGACGAAAGUCUGACGGAGCAACGCCGCGUGAGUGAUGAAGGUUUUCGGAUCGUAAAGCUCUGUUGUUAGGGAAGAACAAGUGCCGUUCAAAUAGGGCGGCACCUUGACGGUACCUAACCAGAAAGCCACGGCUAACUACGUGCCAGCAGCCGCGGUAAUACGUAGGUGGCAAGCGUUGUCCGGAAUUAUUGGGCGUAAAGGGCUCGCAGGCGGUUUCUUAAGUCUGAUGUGAAAGCCCCCGGCUCAACCGGGGAGGGUCAUUGGAAACUGGGGAACUUGAGUGCAGAAGAGGAGAGUGGAAUUCCACGUGUAGCGGUGAAAUGCGUAGAGAUGUGGAGGAACACCAGUGGCGAAGGCGACUCUCUGGUCUGUAACUGACGCUGAGGAGCGAAAGCGUGGGGAGGGAACAGGAUUAGAUACCCUGGUAGUCCACGCCGUAAACGUUGUCUAAGUGUUAGGGGGUUUCCGCCCCUUAGUGCUGCAGCUAACGCAUUA